rnacentral:rRNA from 1 species
CUUAAAUUGAAGAGUUUGAUCAUGGCUCAGAUUGAACGCUGGCGGCAGGCCUAACACAUGCAAGUCGAGCGGUAGCACAGAAGAGCUUGCUCUUUGGGUGACGAGCGGCGGACGGGUGAGUAAUGUCUGGGAAACUGCCUGAUGGAGGGGGAUAACUACUGGAAACGGUAGCUAAUACCGUAUAACCUCGCAAGAGCAAAGAGGGGGACCUUCGGGCCUCUCGCCAUCAGAUGUGCCCAGAUGGGAUUAGCUAGUAGGUGAGGUAAUGGCUCACCUAGGCGACGAUCCCUAGCUGGUCUGAGAGGAUGACCAGCCACACUGGAACUGAGACACGGUCCAGACUCCUACGGGAGGCAGCAGUGGGGAAUAUUGCACAAUGGGCGCAAGCCUGAUGCAGCCAUGCCGCGUGUGUGAAGAAGGCCUUCGGGUUGUAAAGCACUUUCAGCGGGGAGGAAGGCGGUAAGGUUAAUAACCUUAUCGAUUGACGUUACCCGCAGAAGAAGCACCGGCUAACUCCGUGCCAGCAGCCGCGGUAAUACGGAGGGUGCAAGCGUUAAUCGGAAUGACUGGGCGUAAAGCGCACGCAGGCGGUCUGUUAAGUUGGAUGUGAAAUCCCCGGGCUUAACCUGGGAACUGCAUUCAAAACUGACAGGCUAGAGUCUUGUAGAGGGGGGUAGAAUUCCAGGUGUAGCGGUGAAAUGCGUAGAGAUCUGGAGGAAUACCGGUGGCGAAGGCGGCCCCCUGGACAAAGACUGACGCUCAGGUGCGAAAGCGUGGGGAGCAAACAGGAUUAGAUACCCUGGUAGUCCACGCUGUAAACGAUGUCGAUUUGGAGGUUGUGCCCUUGAGGCGUGGCUUCCGGAGCUAACGCGUUAAAUCGACCGCCUGGGGAGUACGGCCGCAAGGUUAAAACUCAAAUGAAUUGACGGGGGCCCGCACAAGCGGUGGAGCAUGUGGUUUAAUUCGAUGCAACGCGAAGAACCUUACCUACUCUUGACAUCCAGAGAACUUAGCAGAGAUGCUUUGGUGCCUUCGGGAACUCUGAGACAGGUGCUGCAUGGCUGUCGUCAGCUCGUGUUGUGAAAUGUUGGGUUAAGUCCCGCAACGAGCGCAACCCUUAUCCUUUGUUGCCAGCGAUUCGGUCGGGAACUCAAAGGAGACUGCCGGUGAUAAACCGGAGGAAGGUGGGGAUGACGUCAAGUCAUCAUGGCCCUUACGAGUAGGGCUACACACGUGCUACAAUGGCGUAUACAAAGAGAAGCGACCUCGCGAGAGCAAGCGGACCUCAUAAAGUACGUCGUAGUCCGGAUUGGAGUCUGCAACUCGACUCCAUGAAGUCGGAAUCGCUAGUAAUCGUAGAUCAGAAUGCUACGGUGAAUACGUUCCCGGGCCUUGUACACACCGCCCGUCACACCAUGGGAGUGGGUUGCAAAAGAAGUAGGUAGCUUAACCUUCGGGAGGGCGCUUACCACUUUGUGAUUCAUGACUGGGGUGAAGUCGUAACAAGGUAACCGUAGGGGAACCUGCGGUUGGAUCACCUCCUUACCAAGAAG